rnacentral:lncRNA from 1 species
CUCACUCACUCCACCCACUCUCCCAGCAGCCAGAGUCCUCUGAAACACAGGCCAUCGAUGACUUCCUCUGCCCUGGACUUGUACCCAAGCUCCUUACCAGACCCCCAGGACCUGGCUUUGCCCACCUCUCUGCUGGAACCCCUCUCUGCCCUGGGGCAUUGGCACAUGCCACCCCCACGACCUGGGCCCAUGCUUCUGGGAUAGCUAGGUCGGACCAGCCUUCAGGCCUCGUACCCAUGUCCACCUUGGCACGGCCUCCCCACUGCCCCCUCGUUAGCCUAUCUCCUUCCACACGGUAGCCGACAUGGCACUGACUCCAGCGUGCCACCACACAUCAGGGUCUUCACGUCCUCCUCACCCUGUAGUCUCUGAGGGCUGCCAGAAGAAAUGACCACAGACUUGGUGGCUUAAAGCCACAGAGGUGUAUUCCCUCCUGGAUUCUGAGGCUGGAAGUCUGAAGUGCAGUUGUGGGCAAGGUGGUUCCUUGGAGCCCCUGAGGAAGGAUGUGUUCCAGGCCUCUCUUCCAGCCUCUGGUGGUCGCAGGUGACUGCCUUGGCGUCCCCAGCUUGUGGCUGCCUCACUCCAACUUCAGCUUCUAUCUUCACAUAGCCUUUUUCUCCCUCCACGUCGCUGUCUCUGUGUCUCUUCUCCUUUCUUUUUAACGACACCAGUUAUUGGGCGUAGGGCCCAUCCUCAUCCUGUG